AAAUAUUGCCAGAUGGCUUGCAAAAAGUACACAAAACGUUUGCUGCUUUGCUGGCGCAUCCAAUUUUAAGGCGCGGUUUGAGACAAACUUGCUAGGUGACUUCUUUGUCUACAAUGUUCUGCCAAGAGACCGCCAACUAGAAGACCAGCUGCCUCUACUAAGUUCAAUUGCCUGUUUACCUGUC
rnacentral:sRNA from 1 species